rnacentral:lncRNA from 1 species
UGGAUUUAAGUCCAACAAAAAAACAAUAAUGAAAUUGAAAUAAAUAAUUUCUUAUAAUAUUUUAUAGGAGACAGAUGCAGUUUAUAUCAAUGUAAGUCUAGUCUAUUUAUAAGUAGUUUUGCACAUUUUUUAUUCGUAUUUUAACAAUUCAACAACAUAGAGAAUAGAGAGAAAACCAACUGUUUAAAGGGAGGAGCUAGGAAGAAGGGGAGGAGGCCGACAAAAGGAUCCAAGGCUUCCCCCCAAGCUUGGCCAUGUAGAGAAAGCAGAAGAAGAGAGUGUAGAGGCCCAAUUUAGCUCGGGCCUAUAAACCAGAAACCUAAUAACAAAAAAAUAUAAAGUCCAUAAGUCCAAUAGCCCAAUAACUAACUAAACCCUAAACCCAAUAACUAACUAAACCCAUAACCCAAUACCCAAAUAAACAAAUAGGGCCAAAAUGGCCCAAGACCAGAUCAGCCACAGAAACCCUAGGGCUUCCACUUUGGCCCUUCAGCCUCUAGCCCCCGUACCCUCCCAGCUCCGUAUGCUCUAGUGCUUCAGCAGCCACCAGCUUCCGUACGCCCCACGUCGAGUGCCAUGUACCACCACAACUGGCCUCGUUCCCUGUACCUGCAAACCAAAACAGGACAACAGCAAAAUAGCAAAGGAAAUGUAUUUUUCUUUUUAUUUUCUGGCUAUAAGAAGCCCAAAAGGAAUUAUCUUGUUUUUUUUUUACGGAUACCAAGUAAUGAAAUAGAAAACAAAUAUUUUUUAAGGUGGUUGAUUUGCUGUUCUCUUUCUUAUUUUUCUCUUUAUUUCUCGCCUAGUUUUUAUCUGUUUUACUAAGAUACACACAAAAAAAAGGGGAAAAAUCUCUUACCUGUCGAUCGGCACCGACCUAGUCGGUGGUUGCUUCUUCGUCCAAGGGCAGACAGAUCCCUGGGGAUCCGGCUAGAGCCACGACGUAGGGUGAGGCGCAUUUGGUGCCAUUUUAGCCCGUAGACCGAUUGAAGGGAGAGGGGUGGUUAAGAGCUUUAAAAAAGAGUUUUUUUAAAACCUUUCUUAAGAAAACAAUCUGCCAAAUGAGAUUUUUAGGGUAAAUUUUAGUUUAUAUAUGUGUUUAAAACGACACCGUAUGGUGGC